UCAUUAUCAUUAUCAUUAUCAUUCGCGGAGGUGGCCAACACGGUCGCCGACGCCGCGGGCGAGGUGCUGCGCAAGUACUUCCGCCAGAACUUCGAGAUCAUCGACAAGGAGGAUCUCAGCCCGGUGACGAUUGCCGAUAGGGAAGCGGAGGAGUCCAUGGUUUCGAUCAUAUCGGAGAGUUUUCCUUUGCAUGCUGUUUAUGGCGAGGAGAAUGGUUGGAGGUGUAAGGAGAAGUCUGCUGAUUAUGUUUGGGUUCUGGACCCAAUUGAUGGCACAAAAAGCUUCAUUACGGGGAAACCUUUGUUUGGUACUCUUAUUGCCGUUUUGCACAAAGGGAAACCAGUAUGACUGAUACAUGCAUCAUAAGUUAUUUGUUUGUUUUAAUAGACUAGGUUCCAUUUUACAAUGUAUUGAUAGGCUAUAUUAUGUGCUCAUAUGUUAUUAAAAUGGUGAAAACUUCUUUCA